AACGAACGCUGGCGGCAGGCUUAACACAUGCAAGUCGAACGCAUCCUUCGGGGUGAGUGGCAGACGGGUGAGUAACGCGUGGGAACGUGCCCUUCAGUUCGGGAUAACCCAGGGAAACUUGGGCUAAUACCGGAUACGUGCGAGAGCAGAAAGAUUUAUCGCUGAAGGAUGGGCCCGCGUCUGAUUAGCUAGUGGGUGGGGUAAUGGCCCACCAAGGCGACGAUCAGUAGCUGGUCUGAGAGGAUGCUCAGCCACAUUGGGACUGAGACAAGGCCCAAACUCCUACGGGAGGCAGCAGUGGGGAAUAUUGGACAAUGGGCGCAAGCCUGAUCCAGCCAUGCCGCGUGAGUGAUGAAGGCCUUAGGGUUGUAAAGCUCUUUCGUCCGGGACGAUAAUAACGGUACCGGAAGAAGAAGCCCCGGCUAACUUCGUGCCAGCCGCCGCGGUAA
rnacentral:rRNA from 1 species